GAUGAACGCUGGCGGCGUGCCUAAUACAUGCAAGUCGAGCGAACAGACGAGGAGCUUGCUCCUCUGAUGUUAGCGGCGGACGGGUGAGUAACACGUGGAUAACCUACCUAUAAGACUGGGAUAACUUCGGGAAACCGGAGCUAAUACCGGAUAACAUGUUGAACCGCAUGGUUCAACAGUGAAAGACGGUCUUGCUGUCACUUAUAGAUGGAUCCGCGCCGCAUUAGCUAGUUGGUAAGGUAACGGCUUACCAAGGCAACGAUGCGUAGCCGACCUGAGAGGGUGAUCGGCCACCCUGGACCUGAGACACGGUCCAGACCCCUACGGGAGGCAGCAGUAGGGAAUCUUCCGAAAUGGGCGAAAGCCUGACGGAGCAACGCCGCGUGAGUGAAGAAGGUCUUCGGUUCGUAAAACUCUGUUAUUAGGGAAGAACAAAUGUGUAAGUAACUAUGCACGUCUGGACGGUACCUAACAAGAAAGCAACGGCUAACUACGU
rnacentral:rRNA from 1 species